CUCGAACUCACGGACCGCGAGAUCAUGACCUGAGCCGAAGUCAGCCGCUUAACCGACUGAGCCACCCCGGCGCCCCCCCCCCCCCCCUUCACCGUUUUUAAGUGGGUCGUUCAGUGGUAUUGUGCGGCCGCCACCACCGUCCGUGUCCAAAGCGCUUUCGCUCUUUGCAGAACAAACCCUGUCCCCGUUGAACACGCCUGCCCCCACCGCCUACUCCGUCUUUGUGAGUCUGAAGACCCCGGGACCCGACGGAAGCACAAUAUACUACAGCGUCUGUCUUACCUCACCGAGCGCCACCCAUGUGGUGUCAGGUUUCCUCUCUAAGGCUGACAUUCUGUGUGCACGGGCCACCUUUUGUUCCUCCGCUCGCUUGUCAGUGGAUACUUGGGUGGCUCCCACGUCCUGGCCGUUGGGAACCACGCUGCCGUGAACGUGGGGCGAAAGCAUUUCUUCGAGUGCUUCGUUCCGUUCUUCUGGUCACGUACCCGGCCGUGGAAUUGCUGGGUCACCCGGGAAUCCGUUUAAGUUUCUGAGGAGCUGCCAGACUGUUUCACAGCGAUGGCACCAUGUUGCCUUCUCAUAAACUGGCAUCCCUACGUUGUUCGCGUGUGAAACCACACCAGGGCCUGGGAGCCACCGUUGCCGGCCGCAGGGCACAGUCACAGACAGCAGAGGCCAGCAGGUCCUUUGUGGAUGACACCCCCCCGGCCCAAGGAGGACCCAGAAGCAGCAGGGGCAGGAACCAGCGCAAGAGGGGAAAUUGUUCCCCCUCGCCGGGCGGGCGCUGCCCCUGGUAACUUUCCUAACCCGGCUCCCGGCCAGCCCCGCCCCCUGAUCUCAUGCUGGCCCUCGGAGCCGGGCUUGGGUUUCUGACCCCGGCUUUCCUCCUCCUCUCUCGGGAGUCAGGUUCUGUUUACAAGGCUUUCCUCCUCCUCUCCCUGGAGUCAGGUUCUGUUUACAACUGAAAGCAACCGUGCCAAACUGGAGGCAGGAGCUCCCGGAGGAAAGAGAACUGUUCCCUCCGCGGUCGCUGCCCUCCGUCUGCUUCCCUGGCCUCGAGCUGAGACCGUGAGCAGCCGUGUCACCGCCCUGUUUCCACUCCGGCCGGGCUGUGACCAGCAGCAGCGGGGAGGCGGGCAUCGCAGGCACCGGCAGUUUGGGAGUGUGGUGGAUGGGCUGGCAGCCCACCAGGCUGUUUGCCUCCCGGCAGAGAAGCAGACCCUGGCUGCCCUUUGUGGGGAGGCCCCCCAGACCCUCCCGCCUGCCUCUCCUGGUCCCUCCCUUACGCGGAGGCCUCCAGCACCCCCAGGGGCAACGUCUUCUCCGGUGUGGAGACCAGGCCGUGGGCUCUGGGUGCAGAGGCCACUUGAGUCAUGCUCCUGAAAGCCCUUGUCUUCACGCACACGAUACGUGACAACCAGGAGUGUCCCUUGGCCUGGUGAGCCGGGGUGUAAGGUGACGCCUCGGGCCUGCAGAACGAUGGGGUUUCGGAGGUGAGCAACCCACCUGCCCGCAAGCCCACGACGUGGGUCCUGAGGCCGUCCCCAGACUCCAGCCUGUCUGCUCCAGAGCUGACCCUAGGUUCCAUCCCAUGUACUUCCUGCUGUCACUGCUGUGUAGCAGUGGACAUCCCUUACCGGUCACCUCCAGAGGGCCGGCCACUGCAAACACUUUACCUCCAUUCUCGCACAGACCCUGCAGGUACACAUCAUGAAUCCUGCUGAUAGGGGAGGCCCCUGGGGCUCAGAGAGGCCGAGGACUUUGGCCCGGGCCACACAGCUCCAACUGGCUGAGUCAGGGUGGGUGUGAGGCCGGAGCCGCCGGUCCCCCCCAACCCACACUCCCCCCCGCUUAGCCCUUGGGGGAGAAUAACAACCUACAAUCUUCCACUCUUCGCACCUAUCGCGACUCUAUUCCGCACCUGUGGGUUAAGGCAAAAUGGGUUUUUGAGUGGCGUGAAAUUAUUUCGAAAAAAUCGUGUUUAGUUCCAAAAAAUGGGAAAGUAUCAGAGGAAGUUUGAUUCUGUUGCUUCUCUACCUUGACUGAAAUCUGGCGGGUUUUUCUUCAUUAACUCUUUGGAAUUUAUGUGGUUGUAAAUAAAUAAAUUAUACUUGUAUUCACUCAUAGGAUCCACAAACAUACCGAACUCAUUUGUUUCUAUGAUACAUGUAGAUAUUUACAUGAUAUAUAAAUGUACUGUUUGUAAACAUA